rnacentral:rRNA from 1 species
CAUUCACGGAGAGUUUGAUCCUGGCUCAGGACGAACGCUGGCGGCGUGCUUAACACAUGCAAGUCGAACGAUGAACCACUUCGGUGGGGAUUAGUGGCGAACGGGUGAGUAACACGUGGG